rnacentral:tRNA from 1 species
GGAGGAACAGCUCAGCGGUUAAGAGCACUGACUAUUCUUCCAGAGGUCCUGAGUUCAAUUCCCAGCAACCA